rnacentral:lncRNA from 1 species
UUUUUUUUUCGUUUUUUCGACUGCCCGGACCCAAAAACUGGAAACGGGUCAAAAAAAACUUCCAAUAAUGGCACCUGUCUCAAAACACUCAGAAACACCUAAAAAUAGGAUAGCCAGAAAUUUGUUUUCGAAAAAUGUGUUUUCGAAAAAUUUUGGGCCUAAACGGAGGGUGGUUUCCGGACUCUUUUUUUUUCGAAACCUACUCCGGCAAGGAAACACGAAUCGGAAUCUAGAUGGAUCUCAAAAACACACCUAAUAUGCAAGGAACUCGGAUUGGUGGUGGAUAUAUGGUGGUGGUAUAUGGCAGCGGUGGUGGUAUAUGGCAGCGGUGGUAAUAUAUGGAUAUGGAUCGGUGGUGGUAUAUGGAUACGGAUUGGUGGUGGUAUAUGGAUACGGAUUCAGAGCGGUGGUGGUAGGUGACAGGGGCGAUGAUGAUGGUGCGGUGGCGGCGUGACAACUUAUGACCAGAACUCGAAACUCUAAAAGACUAACGCUAAGACCAGCAACUAGACACGACGAUGCAACCGCAAAUUCAACAAAGCAAAACCCUAAAAAGAUUAUGCAAAGGCUCAGAUUGGUUCGGAUAUGAUGAACUAACCCUAAUUUUUUUUGGCUUUUUCGUGGACUUUAGGUAUGAAGAACAGACUCGAUCUAAACUACGAAAAACUGUAAAAUCUCACCGAGCAACCUGGAAAUCUGAUACCACUUGAUAGAGGCAAAGGUGUCCCGUCUUUCGAUGAGAUGAUGGAUAUCGCUUUGGUGGCAGUCGACUUUGACGAUCCGACUACGAACGUGCGAGGACGUCGCGCCUUAGCAAUCGCUAAACCAACUCCGAGAGGUUAUUGACCACGCCGGAGCACGAUCAACCUGACCACGAGGGUAUGUUUCCUGCGAGCAAACGAAGAACAAGCAAGAAACUGAGAUUGCAAUCUGGAUAUUGCGAAUAUAAGAUGAAAGCUUUAUUGAUCAAGGUGGGGUUCUGUGACGCCUUUGUCUGGUCGUUGAACACAAACGAAGUACGCGAAGUUGCAGCUAUGGCGAACUUUUAAUCUAAACAAAACCCGAAGUCUAAACAAUGCCCUAAGGGCUGUAUAUAUGGAGGAAGAGGGGGGAAUUUCGUGGCCCUUGGUGGAGGGGUCCGAAAUCAACCCUAUCUCUUGUUUCCCCACACAUACGUACUCUAAAAAUAGCCUAUACUUAUGUAUUUCGAAAUUACAUGGGCCUGGCCCAAUAAUAAGGUGACGCAGCACCUAAAAUAGCCUCGGGACGAAAUUUAUGAAGUGGCAUCUUGUAUAUUUCGUCCAAGGCUUCAUGCACCCAUUAUGGUGGCUUCAAAGUCCUGAAAUCGUCACUUGUAACUCCGUUCUUGUUCCCCUUGCGCAUGCCAUCAUCUCCAUGCUUGUUCUUGCUCCAAUGUUCAUCCUUCUCCAAGCUAGGCCCUUCAUUUGUAAGCAAAACAAAUGUAUCCAAUUUAGGCAGCAUCAUAUUCUCAUGAACAUUAGAAUCAUUACCAAGAAACGAAAGUAUCUGGUAAUUUAGUUGGCGUGCACGAGCUCUAGUAAUUGGUCCAGUAUGUAUAGCAGCAGGGGCUGUGGGUGUAACAAUUGUAUUGAUGUCCUCAUCAGCACACCUAGCACCACGCUUUGUCAUGUCAUGCAUCGUCAUGCAUUUGUUUGCAUUAUAUUUAUUGUUUCUUCCCCCUCUUCUCUCGCUAGACACCGAGACCGACGCCGCUGCUACCCGGUACGACUACGGUGUUGAUGACCCCUCUCUCUUGCCAGAGCAACCAGGCAAGCCCCCCCCCCCUUUGAUCACCAGAUAUCGCCUACUCUUUUCUCUGCUGCUUGCAUUAGAGUAGUGUAGCAUGUUACUGCUUUCCGUUAAUCCUAUUCUGAUGCAUAGCCUGUCCUUGCUACUACUGUUGUUACCUUUACCUGCAAUCCUAAUGCUUAGUAUAGGAUGCUAGUUUAUCAUCAGUGGCCCUACAUUAUUGUCCGUCUGCCAUGCUAUACUAUCGGGCCGUGAUCACUCGGGAGGUGAUCACGGAUAUAUACUAUAUACUUUAUACAUGAUACAUGUGAUGACCAAAGUCGGGUUGGUUCGAGGAGUACCCGCAGUUGAUUCACGAAUUGGGGGCUGGAAGGACAUACUUUCCCGACAGCCCUCUGUGUGGAUAUUUGUGGCGAAGCGACGGGGCAGGUUGAGACCACCUAGUAGAGAGGUGGGCCUGGCCCUGGUCGGCGUUCGCGGUUAUUUCAAAAUAACACGCUUAACGAGAUCUUGGUAUUUGAUCUGAGUCUGGCCACUGGCCUAUACGCACUAACCAUCUACGCGGGGACAGUUAUGGGCACUCGACGUCGUGGUAUCAGCCGAAGCCUUCAUGACGUCAGCGACUGAGUGGCGCGCGCCGGAUUGGACUGGAACGCCUACUAGGCUAGGUCUGCUUCCGGCCGCGUUCGCAACGUGCAGGUGUGCAAAGGGCGAUGGGCCCAGACCCCUGCGCCAUAGGAUUUAGACCGGCGUGCUGACCUCUCUGUUGUGCCUAAGUAGGGCUGCGACAUGUUGAUCUUCCGAGGCCGGGCAUGACCCAGAAAAGUGUGUCCGGCCAAAUGGGAUCGAGCGUGUUGGGUUAUGUGGUGCACCCCUGCAGGGAAGUUAAUCUAUUCAAAUAGCCGUGAUCUUCGGUAACAGGACGACUUGGAGUUGUACCUUGACCUUAUGACAACUAGAACCGGAUACUUAAUAAAACACACCCUUCCAAGUGCCAGAUACAACCGAUGAUCGCUCUCUCACAGGGCGACGAGGGGAGGAUCAUCGGUUAGGAUUAUGCUAUACGAUGCUACUUGGAGGUCUUCAGUCUACUCUCUUCUACAUGCUGCAAGACGGAGGCUGUCAGAAGCGUAGUCUUCGAAAGGACUAGCUAUCCCCCUCUUAUUCCGGCUUUCUGCAGUCCAGUCCACAUAUAAUAGCCUUAUUCCAGUUGAUACCAAUGCAUACAUAUGUAGUAUAGCUCCUUGCUUGCGAGUACUUUGGAGAGUACUCACGGUUGCUUUCUCCCUCUUUUCCCCCUAUCCCUUCUACCUGGUUGUCGCAACCAGAUGUUGGAGCCCAGGAUCCAGACGCCACCGUCGACGACGACUCCUACUACACCGGAGGUGCCUACUACUAUGUACUGCCCGCUGACGACGACCAGGAGUAGUUUAGGAGGAUCCCAGGCAGGAGGCCUGCGCCUCUUCCGAUAUGUAUCCCAGUUUGUGCUAGCCUUCUUAAGGCAAACUUGUUUAACUUAUGUCUGUACUCAGAUAUUGUUGCUUCCGCUGACUCGUCUAUGAUCGAGCUCUUGUAUUCGAGCCCUCGAGGCCCCUGGCUUGUAAUAUGAUGCUUGUAUGACUUAUUUUAUUUGAAGAGUUGUGUUGUGAUAUCUUCCCGUGAGUCCCUGAUCUUGAUCGUACACAUUUGCGUGUAUGAUUAGUGUACGAUUGAAUCGGGGGCGUCACACACAUAUCGUGUGCAGACGCUAAGUGGUGGAAACAUGUGUGACGAAGUACACCCCUGCAGGGUUAUAAAUGAUCUAUUCAAAUAGUCGCGUCCGCGGUAAAGGACUUCUGGGUUGCCUAUAACAGUUCAUAGAUAACUUGAAGUGGAUACUCUAAAACUCGCAAGAUAAGCGUGAGUUCUAUGGAUGGCCUUCUCGUAGGGAGACGGGAGUGGAUCCAUAGUGGUGUAUUGAUAUGGUGAAUAUGUGGACUCGUGUGCGCCACCUCAAAAGAGUUGCUUGCAGUCAUAGUUCAGGAUAGCCACCGAGUCAAAGCUGGCUUGCUGCAGUUAAACUCCACUACCCCCUUUGUUGAUAUCGAUGCAUAUGUAGCUAGUUCUGAUGUAAGUCUUGCUGGGUACAUUUGUACUCACGUUUGCCUAUUUUAUAUUUUGCAGACAGACGUCAGUCUCGCUAGUAGUUCCGUGUGGACUUCGACGUUUAGCUUGUUACCUCAGCUACGAUCUUGUGCCCUCGGCAGGAUCUAGUGGAUAGUCAGGCUUCUCAGCCUUUUUCAUUUGUAGAUGUCUGUACUCAGACAUGUUAUGCUUCCGCAUGUGCUUGUUGAUUGUAUGCUCUGUAUGUUGGGUCAUGAGGCCCAUGUUUGUAAUAUCUCGCUCCCUAGAGCCUAAUGAAUAAAUACUGGAGUCAUAGAGUUAUGUUGUGAUGCCAUGUUGUAUUUACACAUAUCGAGCAUAUUGUGUGUAUGAUUAAAAUGCUUGCUAUGUGUGGGAUCCGACAAUCUAGUUGUUUAUCCUUGGCAGCCUCUCUUAUGGGGAAAUGUAGUCUAGUGCCUCCUUGAGCCAUAGUAGUCCGCUACAGCCCGGUUCACCGGAGUCCUGCUAGCCCAGCACUACUGCUCAGGACACUUGACUAGCCGGCAUGUGUUUCACUUCGUUCAUGUGUCUGUCCCUUCGGGGAAAUGUCACUCAGUGACAUCCGGAGUCCUGCCUAGCCUGCUACAGCCCCGUUCACCGGAGUCCUGUUAGCCUAGUGCUACAGCCCGGAUUCACACGCUGCUGACCAACAUGCUCGAGGUUGAUUCAUGUAUGCCCGUCCCCAUAGGUUAGUGCCGCUUUGGGUUCACGACUAGCCAUGUCGGCUCGGGUUCUCUGUCAUAUGGAUGCUAGCGACACUAUCAUAUACGUGAGCCAAAAGGCGCAAACGGUCCCGGGCCAUGGUAAGGCGACACCCAUGGGAAUACCGUGCGUGAGGCCGCAAAGUGAUAUGAGGUGUUACCGGCUAGAUCGAUGUGACUUGGAAUCGGGGUCCUGACAUAUGGCAAGAUCAAGUGCAACGUUUAAGGAUAUUUUGUUACAAGUUAAGUGAAAUUUGGUUGAGAAAUAUCCUUCAACAAUUCAUGGGCAUGUCCACCGGCGGAAUUCCAGAUGUCGUCCAUGACCAUUGAAGUUGCGAUGACUCAUACAUCUUGUUCAGGAAGGCGUUCGGGUCUUGCGUCAAUGCAUCCGGGAUGCCCGACCAAUGCGAAGUUGGAACACCAUUGAACAUGGGCAUACCCAAGGGUGCGACUGUGGUGGAUGCCAUCAAAGCAGACUCCAUGUCGAUGAUCUCCUUCGUCACAACCGGUCUUCUCGACCAUCUCGUCCUUCCCACAGACGCGCUACCAAACAUGCCGAUCAUUUUGGGUGACGCUCUCUACGUUGGCCGCCAGAAUGGUGGAGACACCCAUGGACUUCACUGACCCAGUGUCCAUGGCAGCAGUCGUGCUACCGAACUUGUCAAUCCUUGCGGGCAAUGCUCUCUGCGUUGGCCACUGGAACGGUGGAGACACCCAUGAACAACACUGACCUGGUGUCCAUGGCGGCGUUCGCAAGGCGAAGCAAGCAUUGACGGCUAGGAUGAGGGAGGGUUACGAUGUGAACGUAAAAUGGAGACUUGCGUGGGAGAGGGGGUGAUUUUGCCAAAUUUGGUGACAUUUGGGGUGGGUCUAGUGUGUCGUGUCCAACGUGACAUUCACAUCCAAACGGCCUUAAAUAUUCCCCACAUAUAUGCUUGGUUUGAGGGGUAUCAAAUAGCCCGGACACAUGGGUGUCUAGUUGUUGGGUCCAAACCUUGUCCCCGGAUAAAAAAGGGGGGAGUACGGGUAAGAAACCGGGUGCAUUCCGACUUCUGUCAAGCAAGAAAAAAUAUUAAAGUAAAUUUCUAUAUAAAAAAUAAUACUCCCUCCAUAAGAUUAUAUAAGACGUUUCUUGACACUAUGACAUAGUGUCAAAAAAUGUCUUAUAUUAUGUUACGGAGGGGGUACUAGGAUGAAAUAAGAGUAUCACUUGAAAGAAGUCUUACAGUCGAGGACAUAAGAUUAAAUGGUCUCAGCAAAUCACCUCGUCAAUGGGGUGUAACCACAUGAUUCUGGAGACAGAUUCAACAGUACUGAAGAAAGCUAUUAGAUCAAGUUAUUAUGAUCUAGCGCUGCUAGGUGUUUUAUGGACGUGGCUAGGGAGCGCAUGCGCGCUUGUUCGUUUGAUCGAGCAAACCCCCUUUUUGAAAAGAGACAACCAGGUCCUAAAGAUGGCACAAAAAUAGAAAGCCACAUGCCCCCCCCCCUCCUCCCUCCACCUUUUAUGUGUCUACAUACGCUAUCAUAUAAUCAACCAAGAUCUUUGUCCCACGUGCAUUUAUUUUCUAUUUAAUAAAAAAAUUAAAAGUCGUAACUUUUGAUUCGAGCUUCAAAAUCAGAUUCAUUUUGACUGUUGGGUUUCUUACGACGAAUUCUUCAAAACUAGAUUCCAUAUGGAUAGGUUUCAUAAAAAACAUGAGCAACUUUGGAUGCAAUGGAAGCAACUUUAGUGAUAUAGAGAAGCAACUUCUUCUUUUUGGCCUCGUACAACUACCAAUUAGGUUGGUUUGUAUGAAACAGGAAAAUCACACAAAACAUGAGGUACCUUUAGUACUCAUAUAAGCAAUUUCACUGCACUAUGUGUACCUGUGAAUUUUGCUAACACUAUCCCAACUUGCUUAUUGAUGAUAGUUAGUUGCCUGCGGUUCAUGCUUAGUUGUCUACAAAUUCUAUGAAAUUGCCCACCAUUGAUGCCUAGUUGCCAGCCAUUGGUAAUUAGUUACCUAUCAUCGCUGCUCAGUUGCCUAACUUUGUGAAUUAGUUGUCUACAAUAUUGUAAAGUUGCUUAUCCUUAUUUUUCUAUGUUGUCUACAAACACUAUGAAGUUGCCUACUGGUGAUGCUUAGUUGCCUACCAGUGAUGUUGAUAUGACCAUAUGUAAAACAACAAUGCCUGCUGCUUAUACGGCGGCUGACGCUGUUGUAGUUAAAGAAGACAAGGAUGAUACGGCCGUUGUGAUAGUUCAUGCCGACGGUGUACAUGUUGCGAGGGUUUUGCUUAAGUCUUGGCCGAAGUACCAAGGAGUGCUUUCAUAUUUGCAUGCAUCGGGCAAUCAAACAGGUGGCAUGCAUGCCAGUGGGUCCAGCCAAAAAUCAAUUAGAGUAGAUGCUACCAUGUUUUAUACCACGUACACGUACAUGUGCAUGAGUUUGUUUCAGAUUUAAAAGGAAUACAUCACGUUGGUUAUUUCUUUGGGAGACUACGGCCACCGGACCAAUCAAGCAUUGGACCCAGCAAGAAGUUUCUCACGUUGAAGCGAUGGUGUUUAAAGGAAUCAGGGUGGGGGCCACCAGCUAGCAAAACCAAAUUAACUGGCGUUCAAGUAUGAGAUAUAAACUUUAUUUUUAGCAGGUCCUUUUGGUGCAUGCCGAGAUGUAAAAGGCAAUUUAGUUUAAACCAAAUAAGAGUCCAGAAUUCUUGGGAAAGCUCGUGUGCGUUAAUCCUUGUUAGUUGGGACAGCUAUACUAGUAGUACGGCCAUGUAAAAGGCCAGGUUAUAUUUUUGAAAAUAAAUAUGAUGUAUUUUUAGGGUAGACACCUGUAUCGAGUUUUGGGGGAAGCUGUUUAAAAAUUCCUAAGUUUUGAAGGAAGCUUUAGAAAACCUCUUUGUUGCGAUUUCUGUGAGGAAAUUGUUUUGCGUCUGAGUAUCGUCGUCGAGAUUGGUUUUCUCAUGCUGGACCGUAAGGUUCAAUCCCUCUAUUUCUCGUACAUCGCGUGUGCGGGCGAAAGGUUACUACUGCUGAAGGAGGAUUGUCAUGAAAGGUCGGGACGCAACAAUGAAUCGGAUCUCGCCACGAGGUUCGGUCUACAUCAGAUGUUAUAGGCAACUUCUUAAUAUGGUAGACAACCAGGACAAAUAUGCUUUUUACAAAACAUGGACAGGACAAAUAUGCUUUUUACAAAACAUGGAUAGGCGAUAAUAGGAUCACAUACGCGUAAUGUAUGUUGUAUGCACCUUCGUAACGGGAGUUUCCUCAUUUAGUGCCGAAAGUUGCCUCAAUGUAAUGCCAAAGCUGCCUACAAUGAUGCUCAGUUGUCUAUACGGUGAAAAUUUGUCUCAUGGUUUCUAUGUCGUCUACAAUAUACUUGCUAGGUAAAUUCACUGGUACAUAUGAUACAAGAAAGUUGCUUCUAUUUAGCGCUAAAGUUGACUAAUCUAGAGCCAAACUUGCUUUUAAAAAAUCAUUAAAACAUAUUCAUAUGGGAUCUAAUUUUAAAGAGCUCGUCGCGAGAAAUCUAACAAUGGAAACGAAUCUUUGUUCUGACUCCCGUUUAAAAAGUUGUAGCUUUUCAAAAUAAAUGAGAUGAAAUACAGUGGAAUGACAUGAACACAUGCAUGUAGUUAAUCCUUACCCCUAACCUUGUGCACUACCAACACUACCACGCGGUUCCUGCCAGUCACAUGUACGAUAUUGGACAGCAACGUGAGGAUGCGCUCGUUUCAACGAAAUAGUGCAGCUACAUUAUUAAGCAUUUGAGGUGCUUUGUUUAGAUAUAGAAAUAAAAACCAUGUUGUAUGUUAGGGUUUGAAAUUAGCUCGUGAACUAACUGUGCAUGGCUCUCUGUUGAGGGAUGGCAAUCGUGAGAUGUGAGUUUGCCAUCUGCCACAGUUUGUACUUAACAUGUGGUUUUCCUUGCAAAAAAAAAAAUAUCCAGAACUCGGUUCUGGUGGCCAAAUAUGUGUCAAACGAGUAUAAAAUUGGGUCAUCUAUUUUGAAACGGAGGGAGUACAACUUAAGAAAACGAGUAUAAAAUUGGUCAUCUAUUUUGGAACGGAGGGAGUACAACUUAAGAAAACGAGUAUAAAAUUGGGUCAUCUAUUUUGGAACGGAGGGAGUACAACUUAAGAGAACUGACAGUUCCGUGAUGCAAAAUGACAGAAGUGAUGCCAGGAUGCAGGAUGCUUCAAAUGAUUGAAUCUGUUUAAGUGAAUCUCAUACAGGGAAAAUGCCCAUUAAAUAAGAUUGCAAAGUGAGAAAAAAAUAUCAAAAAAAUGCCAAAAGGCUGAAACAUGAAACUGUGGUCCUACUACUGAUAUAAAUAUUUACAAGGGAAAACUGGAAAAUUGUGAAGUUAAUCUGCAUUUCACUCCGUGAGGUGCAUAAUUUCAGCUCUUAUGUGGCUUGAACAGACGUCCCUUUGGCAAAUAGUAAUGACUGAUAUCAUGGAUUUGCAGUACUGUCCUUUCCAGUUCAAUCAAAACUCAAGGAUUCUUAUCUGCUUUAGUUCCAAAACGAGGCAAAUACACAACCAGCU